rnacentral:rRNA from 1 species
UUUUCCUACGGGGGGCAGCAGUAGGGAAUCUUCCACAAUGGACGCAAGUCUGAUGGAGCAACGCCGCGUGAGUGAAGAAGGCUUUCGGGUCGUAAAACUCUGUUGUUGGAGAAGAAUGGUCGGCAGAGUAACUGUUGUCGGCGUGACGGUAUCCAACCAGAAAGCCACGGCUAACUACGAGCCAGCAGCCGCGGUAAUACGUAGGUGGCAAGCGUUAUCCGGAUUUAUUGGGCGUAAAGCGAGCGCAGGCGGUUUUUUAAGUCUGAUGUGAAAGACCUCGGCUUAACCGAGGAAGAGCAUCGGAA